GUCAUAGGGACGUAAAAGGUUGGGUUGAGUGGGAAGGGGUCUUAUAGGUCGACUUUAUGGAUUGAAGAGCCAUGGGUUGGGUUGGAAGGGACCUCAUAGAUCAUAGAGUUGUAGAGUGGUUGGGUUGGAAGGGAUCUUAUCGGUCAUGGAGCCAUGGAAUGGUUGGGUUGGGUUGGAAGGGACCUCAUAGGUCAUAGGGACGUAAAAUGGUUGGGUUGAGUGGGAAGGGAUCUUAUAGGUCUACCUUACGGAUUGCAGAGCCAUGGGUUGGGUUGGAAGGGACCUCAUAGAUCACAGAGCUGUAGAGUGGUUGGGUUGGAAGGGAUCUUAUCGGUCAUGGAGCCAUGGAAUGGUUGGGUUGAGUUGGAAGGGACCUCAUAGAUCAUAGAGUGGUUGUGUUGGAAGGGACCUCGUAGAUCAUAGAGUUGUAGAGUGAUUGGGUUGGAAGGGACUGUGUGGGUCACAGAGCUGUAGUGUGGUUGGGUUGGGUGGGAUUGGAAGAGUCCUUAUGGAUCACAGAGCCACCAAAUGGUUGGGUUGGAAAGGAUCUUAAUUGAUCACGGAGGCAUAGAAUGGUUGGGUUGGGUUGGAAGGGGCCUCACAGAUCAUAGAGUCAUAGAGUGGUUGGGUUGGAAGGGACUGUGUGGGUCACAGAGCUGUAGAGUGGUUGGGUUGGAAGGGAUCUUAUCGGUCAUGGAGCCAUGGAAUGGUUGGGUUGGGUUGGAAGGGACCUCAUAGGUCAGAGGGACGUAAAAUGGUUGGGUUGAGUGGGAAGGGAUCUUAUAGGUCUACCUUACGGAUUGCAGAGCCAUGGGUUGGGUUGGAAGGGACCUCAUAGAUCAUAGAGUGGUUGGGUUGGAAGGGACCUCAUAGAUCAUAGAGUUGUAGAGUGGUUGGGUUGAGUGGGAAGGGAUCUUAUAGGUCGACCUUACGGAUUGCAGAGCCAUGGGUUGGGUUGGAAGGGACCUCAUAGAUCAUAGAGCUGUAGAGUG
rnacentral:lncRNA from 1 species